AAACCAACAGGGAUUACCUCAGUAACGGCGAGUGAAGCGGUAAAAGCUCAAAUUUGAAAUCUGGCGCAAGCCCGAGUUGUAAUUUGAAGACUCUGCCUUGGGCCCGGCUCUUGUCUAUGUUCCUUGGAACAGGACGUCACAGAGGGUGAGAAUCCCGUGCGAUGAGAUGCCCGGGCCUGUGUAAGGCUUUGUCGACGAGUCGAGUUGUUUGGGAAUGCAGCUCUAAGUGGGUGGUAAAUUCCAUCUAAAGCUAAAUAUUGGCGAGAGACCGAUAGCGAACAAGUACAGUGAUGGAAAGAUGAAAAGAACUUUGAAAAGAGAGUGAAAAAGUACGUGAAAUUGUUGAAAGGGAAGGGCUUGAGAUCAGACUUGGCGGUGUGCAUUUGUGCGCCGCUGGGCCAGCAUCGGUUCGCACGGUAGGAUAAGCGCAUUGGAAUGUGGCUCUGCUUCGGUGGAGUGUUAUAGCCAUUGUUUCUGCUGCCAGUGUGGACCGAGGACUGCGCAUUUUUGCAAGGAUGUUGGCAUAAUGAUCUUAAGCCGC
rnacentral:rRNA from 1 species